rnacentral:lncRNA from 1 species
AAAAAAGUGAAGCAAAAUUGGGAUAUGACAACUGCUCUUAUUUAAUAUCUUGAAUCAGAUGAUAUGAUUGAAGGUAGUUAAAUAUAUAAGACCCAAAUUUUGUCCCUUGAAAGGAAUAAAGUGCAAUGAGACCAUAUGCAUUUUUUGAGAACUUAUUUUCUUAGGAUUGACUGAAAUACUUUGUUGGAGAAUAUAUCAGUCAUAAAAGAGAUGUAUGUGGACAUAUUUUGCAUGUUG